rnacentral:rRNA from 1 species
CUCUAAUCAGGAUCCUGAGUACGGCCCAGCACGUGAAAUUGGGUCGGAAUCUGGGAGGACCAUCUCCCAAGGCUAAAUACUAACUAGUGACCGAUAGCGAACAAGUACCGUGAGGGAAAGGUGAAAAGAACCCCGGAAGGGGAGUGAAAUAGUUCUUGAAACCGUGUGCUUACAAGAAGUUCGAGGCCGUUAAUGGCUGAGAGCGUGCUUUUUGUAGAAUGAACCGGAGAGUUACGAUUGCGUGCAAGGUUAAGGUGCAAAGACUGGAGCCGUAGCGAAAGCGAGUCUUAAUAGGGCGAAUCAGUACGUAGUUGUAGACCCGAAACCGAGUGACCUAUCCAUGGUCAGGUUGAAGGUGGGGUAAUACCUACUGGAGGACCGAACAAGUGGGUGUUAAAAAACCCUUUGAUGAACUGUGGAUAGCGGUGAAAUUCCAAUCGAACUCGGAGAUAGCUGGUUCUAUCCGAAAUACAUUUAGGUGUAGCCUUGCAAUUAGCUUACUGGAGGUAGAGCACUAUUUGGUCUAGGGGCCCUUCAAGGGUUACCAAAAUCAGAUAAACUCCGAAUGCCAGCUAAGUAUGUGCAGGAGUCAGACGGUGAGUGAUAAGAUCCAUCGUCAAAAGGGGAACAGCCCAGAUCACCAGUUAAGGUCCCUAAAUAUAUGCUAAGUGGAAAACGUUGUGAAGGUGCAUAGACAACUAGGAGGUUGGCUCAGAAGCAGCCACCCUUUAAAGAGUGCGUAAUAGCUCACUAGUCGAGUGCUCUUGCGCGGAUAAUGUACCGGGGCUAAGCAUAUUACCGAAACUGUGGAUGCGUAAGCAUGGUAGGAUAGCGUAAUUAACGCGAUGAAGGAUGACCGUAAGGACAUGUUGGAGCGUUAACUAGUGAGAAUUCCGGUAUGAGUAGCGAAAGAUAGGUGAGAAUCCUAUCCACCGAAUGAGUAAGGUUUCCCCCGGAAGGCUCGUCCGCGGGGGGUUAGUCGGGACCUAAGGCGAGGCUGAAAAGCGUAGUCGAUGGACAACAGGUUGAUAUUCCUGUACCGAUAUUUAAUUGCCGAAGGAA